rnacentral:rRNA from 1 species
GAUGAACGCUAGCGACCGGCUUAACACAUGCAAGUCGAGGGGCAGCACAGGUAGCAAUACCGGGUGGCGACCGGCGCACGGGUGAGUAACGCGUAUGCAACUUACCUAUCAGAGGGGGAUAACCCGGCGAAAGUCGGACUAAUACCGCAUGAAGCAGGGGUCCCGCAUGGGGAUAUUUGCUAAAGAUUCAUCGCUGAUAGAUAGGCAUGCGUUCCAUUAGGCAGUUGGCGGGGUAACGGCCCACCAAACCGACGAUGGAUAGGGGUUCUGAGAGGAAGGUCCCCCACAUUGGUACUGAGACACGGACCAAACUCCUACGGGAGGCAGCAGUGAGGAAUAUUGGUCAAUGGGCGUAAGCCUGAACCAGCCAAGUCGCGUGAGGGAUGAAGGUUCUAUGGAUCGUAAACCUCUUUUAUAAGGGAAUAAAGUGCGGGACGUGUCCCGUUUUGUAUGUACCUUAUGAAUAAGGAUCGGCUAACUCCGUGCCAGCAGCCGCGGUAAUACGGAGGAUCCGAGCGUUAUCCGGAUUUAUUGGGUUUAAAGGGUGCGUAGGCGGCCUUUUAAGUCAGCGGUGAAAGUCUGUGGCUCAACCAUAGAAUUGCCGUUGAAACUGGGGGGCUUGAGUAUGUUUGAGGCAGGCGGAAUGCGUGGUGUAGCGGUGAAAUGCUUAGAUAUCACGCAGAACCCCGAUUGCGAAGGCAGCCUGCCAAGCCAUGACUGACGCUGAUGCACGAAAGCGUGGGGAUCAAACAGGAUUAGAUACCCUGGUAGUCCACGCAGUAAACGAUGAUCACUAGCUGUUUGCGAUACAGUGUAAGCGGCACAGCGAAAGCGUUAAGUGAUCCACCUGGGGAGUACGCCGGCAACGGUGAAACUCAAAGGAAUUGACGGGGGCCCGCACAAGCGGAGGAACAUGUGGUUUAAUUCGAUGAUACGCGAGGAACCUUACCCGGGUUUGAACGCAUUCGGACCGAGGUGGAAACACCUUUUCUAGCAAUAGCCGUUUGCGAGGUGCUGCAUGGUUGUCGUCAGCUCGUGCCGUGAGGUGUCGGCUUAAGUGCCAUAACGAGCGCAACCCUUGCCACUAGUUACUAACAGGUGAUGCUGAGGACUCUGGUGGGACUGCCAGCGUAAGCUGCGAGGAAGGCGGGGAUGACGUCAAAUCAGCACGGCCCUUACAUCCGGGGCGACACACGUGUUACAAUGGCGUGGACAAAGGGAGGCCACCUGGCGACAGGGAGCGAAUCCCCAAACCACGUCUCAGUUCGGAUCGGAGUCUGCAACCCGACUCCGUGAAGCUGGAUUCGCUAGUAAUCGCGCAUCAGCCAUGGCGCGGUGAAUACGUUCCCGGGCCU